rnacentral:lncRNA from 1 species
AACAAAGAACCUAGACACAGAUCUUACUUAAAAUGGAUCAGAGAACUAAGUAAACUAUAAAACUUCUAGUAGAUAAUAUAGAAGAAAAUCUAGAUGACCUUGGGUAUGGCAGUGACUUUUUAGAUACAACACCACCAAUGACAUCAUCCAUGAAAUAAAUAAUUGAUAAGCUAGACUUCAUUCAAAUUAAAAAUCCUUGUGAAGUGCAAAAUCAAGAGAAUGAACAGACAAGCCACAGAUGGGGAAAAACAUUUGCAAAAGACAUAUCUGAUAAAAUACUGUUAUCCAAAAUACACAAACCAUUAAAACUCAACAGUAAGAAAAUGAACAGUCCAGUUAACAAAGUGACAAAAGGUCUGAAUGACACCUCACCAAAAAAGAUACUACAUACUGUAUGAUUCCAACUAUAUGAUAUUUUGCAAAAGGUAUAAUUAUGGAGACAAUGAAAAAGAUCAGUGGUUGCCAGGGUUUAAAGGGGAGGGAGAGAUUAACAGACAGAACACAGGAUUUUUAGGACAGUGAAACUAGUCUACAUGAUUCUAUAAUGGUGGAUACAUGUCAUUGUACAUUUCUGAAAACCCACAGAUUGUGCAACCUCAAGAGUAAACCCUAAGUAAACUAUGGACUUUGGAUGCUAAUGAUGUGUCAGUGUAGGUUCAUCAAUUGUUACAGUGCUAUUUUUGUAGAAUUGUGGUAGUGGAGGAGACUGUGCACGUAUGAGGCAAGUGGCAAAUGAGAACUCCCUGUACAUUUUGCUCAGCUUUGCUGUGAAUCUAAUACUGGUCUAAAAAAUAAAGUCUAUUUCAAAAAACAAAAACCAAAAAUGGAUGACUUUAACAUAGAUUAGAUUAUGCUGAAGAAAGAAUUGGUGAAUGGGAAUUAAGAUCUGAUGAAUAUAUCCAGAAUAGAUAAAGAAAUAGAAAAUACACACAAUUUAGAGAUAAAGAAGCUAGUGUUAGACGAUUUAACACAUUUCAUUAGAGUUUCAGAAGAAGCAAAAAAGGAGAAGCAAUGUUUGAAAACAAAAUAAAUUACAAUUUUCUGGAAUAGUGAAAGGCAGAUAUUUGUAAAUUCAGAAACCUCAAUGAAUUAUCAGACAACUUAAUAAAAUAAAUUCAGAGUUAGACCCACUCUAUGCACCAAAGACAAAGAAAGGGUCUUAAAAUCAUGCAGAGGGGAAACAAAGAGAUGACCUAAUGGAAAUAAUAAUUUCACAGGUAACUUCUCAACAGCAACAGUGAAAGGGAGAAGACAGUGGGGACAAUCCCCUCAAAAAACGAAGAGUUUUUACCAUCAAUUGAAAUUUUACAUCCACUGAAACCAUCUUUGAAGAAUGAGGGUGAAAUAAAGAUAUUCUAGGAAAAAAAUACUCAGCUGUACCUCAAAUACUAGAAAAUAUGUGUGUGUGUCUCUGUGUGUGUUUGUGUGUGUGUGUGCGAAAUCAAAGUGGUCCAAAGUCCAUGUAUUUUCUAGUUUAAAGUUGUUUAACUUGAGACUUUGAGUAUGGAUAUUAUCAUUAUAGGUAGCUAUUAAAAGAAUACAUACAGUAUAUAAGUUUUCAACAAGAAGCCUCAAAAAGAGGAUAAGAGGAAAAUCCUAAUCACAUGAAGUAGACAAGAAAGGAAGCAAAAAUCCCAGAAGAAUCCAGGGUAAUAGUAAGUACAAAAUAAGAUGUUAAAAACAAACUAUGUAAUCACAUUCAGAGUAAAAAUAAUAGGCUGGGCGUUUUGGCUCAUGUCUGUAAUUCCAGCGCUUUGGGAGGUUAAGACAAAAGAAUUGCUUGAGGCCAGGAGUUAGAGAACAGCCUAGGCAACAUAGUGAGACCCCCAUAUCUACUAAAAAAAAAAAAAAAUUAGCUGGGCAUGGUGGUAUGAGCCUGUAGUCCUAGCUACUUGGAAGGCUGAGGCAAGAGGGUGGCUUGAGUCCAGAAGGUUGAGGCUGCAGUGAGCCAUGAUUGCACC